GUUAGCGUCAAUUGAAAACUGUUAGAUUGAAGCAAGUCUCUAUUACCGUAAGCAAUCUCAUCAUUAUACUGGUAAGACUAUUGAAUUUUUUCGAUUUCCAUUUUCUAUGCUGAUGUUUUUAACAAACGAACCUUAACAGUGUUGCUGGGCUCUAUCAAAUAAUUGUAUUCAGAAAAUGAAAUACAUAGUAUAACAUAGUAUUGGAGAAGAUAAUGAUAUUUGUUUCUUCCAAAAUCUCUACAAUUGAAGCAAAUCCAAUAAUGAGAAAAUUAGGCUGAAGCUUUAAGUGAAAAAAUAAAUGUUACAUUACUGUUCAAAUAGCUUGAUGUGUACAUUUUUAAUGUUUUAUAAUUGUAUAAAUAAAUUUAUGUGGAUAUAAA